CAGCAGCCGCGGUAAUACGGAGGGUGCAAGCGUUAAUCGGAAUUACUGGGCGUAAAGCGCACGCAGGCGGUCUGACAAGUCAGAUGUGAAAUCCCCGGGCUUAACCUGGGAACUGCAUUUGAAACUGUCAGGCUGGAGUCUUGUAGAGGGGGGUGGAAUUCCAGGUGUAGCGGUGAAAUGCGUAGAGAUCUGGAGGAAUACCGGUGGCGAAGGCGGCCCCCUGGACAAAGACUGACGCUCAGGUGCGAAAGCGUGGGGAGCAAACAGGAUUAGAUACCCCCGUAGUCCCGUCUCUUAUACA
rnacentral:rRNA from 1 species